rnacentral:rRNA from 1 species
CAGCAGCCACGGUAAUACGAAGGGGGCUAGCGUUGUUCGGAUUUACUGGGCGUAAAGGGUGCGUAGGCGGACUGAUAAGUCAGGGGUGAAAUCCCAAGGCUCAACCUUGGAACUGCCUUUGAUACUGUUAGUCUUGAGUUCGAGAGAGGUGAGUGGAACUGCGAGUGUAGAGGUGAAAUUCGUAGAUAUUCGCAAGAACACCAGUGGCGAAGGCGGCUCACUGGCUCGAAACUGACGCUGAGGCACGAAAGCGUGGUGAGCGAACAGGAUUAGAUACCCCCGUAGUCCCUGUCUCUUAUAC